AACGAACGCUGGCGGCAGGCCUAACACAUGCAAGUCGAACGCACCGCAAGGUGAGUGGCGCACGGGUGAGUAACACGUGGGAAUGUACCCUUUGGUUCGGAAUAACGUUUGGAAACGAACGCUAAGACCGGAUGAGCCCUACGGGGGAAAGAGUUAUCGCCAAAGAGGAGCGCGCGUCUGAUUAGGUAGUUGGUGGGGUAAAGGCCUACCAAGCCGACGAUCAGUAGCUGGUCUGGGAGGAUGAUCAGCUACACUGGGAGUGAGACACGGCCCAGUCUCCUACGGGAGGCAGCAGUGGGGAAUAUUGGACGAUGGGCGCAAGCCUGAUCCAGCCAUGCCGCGUGAGUGAUGAAGGCCGUCGGGUUGUAAAGCUCUUUCGCACACGACGAUGAUGACGGUAGUGUGAGAAGAAGCCCCGGCUAACUUCGUGCCAGCCGCCGCCGUAA
rnacentral:rRNA from 1 species